UUGAAGAACAAUCUGGCCAUUCCAAGUCAAUUAGGCCAAAUGUGUCCUUAUUGACAAUUCAAAUUUUGUAUUUAUAGUGGGUAGUUAUUUAGUAGUUGGUAGUUAACCAGUAGUGGGUAGUUAUUUGGUAGUGGGUAGUUAAACAGUAGUGGGUAGUUAUCUAGUAGUGGAUAGUGGCAUAGAUCAUGGGUCCAUGCAUAGUUGUGGGAAGUGGCAAAGAUCAUGGGUCCAUGUAUAGUAGUGGGAAGUGGC
rnacentral:lncRNA from 1 species